rnacentral:snRNA from 14 species
AUCUGAGUCUUCGCACUUUCAGGGCCUCACUUGAGACCCAGUGACCAGUUUUUGGAAACCUUCCAUGCUUGGAAGGUUA